UUGUUACAGUACGCAGGCCACUUGAUGGAUGGCUCGGCUCGGGCACCGAUGAAGACCGUGCCAAGCUGCGAUAUGCUUCGGGGAGGCGCAAGGAGCCUUAGAUCCGAAGAUUGUCGAAUGGGAAUUCCUGUCCCGCAAGGGACAUUCUCGAAAGAGAAGAGGAACCCCGGGAAUCGAAACAUCCUAGUACCGGGUGGAAAAGAAAUCAAUUGAGAUGCCGUUAGUAAGGGCGACCGAAAGCGGCGAAGGGCAAACCGAAUAGCCUCUCAAAAGAGAGGAAAGAUGUGGAGUUUGGAGUCAGGCUAAUACCCUGGAUAAUAAGUUCAAGUUUCUGGAAAGAGACACCUUAGAGGGUGAUAGUCCCGUGGACGAAUUUAUCCGAGUUACAAGCUUGAAUUUCCGGAGUACCGUGCGUCGGUUAUCGCGCGGGAACAUGGGUCUCACUAAGAUCCAACCCUAAAUAUGUCCCGAGUCCGAUAGCAAACUAGUACCGCGAGGGAAAGCUGAAAAGUAGCCCGAAAGGGUGGUGAAAAGGACCUGAAACCAAGUGGCUAUUAACUGGCAAUGCGUGAAAGAAAUGAAGUUUUUAACUGAUCAGCGUGUUGCCGUCCGUGUUGAAGAACGGGCCAGGGAGUUCUAAUCAGCGGCGAGGUUAAUUCCUUUAUGGAAGGAGCCGAAGCGAAAGCAAUAAGCCCGCACCGCAAGGGAGGGGCGACGUGAGCUCGCGUGAAGUCGCUGGUGGGAGACCCGAAGCCGGUCGAUCUAAUCUUGGGCAGGUUGAAGCCUAGCGAAAGCUGGGUGGAGGACCGAGCAGGUUCUGAUGUGCAAAUCGUUCUGUUGACCUGAGAUUAGGGGUUAAAGGCUAAUCUAGGCCGGUAAUAGCGGGUUCCCCUCGAGACUACCCGCAGGUAGACCUGAGCAGAGGCGUCUGGUGGCGUAGAGAAAUGUAUAGGGCAAGCUAACCCGAAAGGGUUGGCCCUCUUAACAAACUCCGAAUCCGCCAGAGCCGUAGAAGCUUGGUGCUAGGGGAUCGGGAUAAGCUUGAUCCCCGAGAGGAGAAGAAUUCAGACGAAGGUUAAGGUCCCUAAGUUAUGGUUAAGUGUAAACUAAAGGAUGUUUGCGACCCAAGACAGCUGGGAGGUUGGCUUAGAAGCAGCCAUCCUUCAAAGAGUGCGUAAUAGCUCACCCGUCGAGGUUGCAGGCUCUGAAGAUGGACGGGACUAAACCAUACACCGAUACCUUCGGACACCGAAAGGUGAUUCGGUAGAGGGGCGUGCUGCCGGGGCAGAAGUAUCUUCGAAAGGAGGUAUGGACCCGACAGUAUCGUGGAUCCUGGCGAAAGUAGCAGCAUAGAGUCGUGAGAAUCGACUCCGCCGAAAGGGCUAAGGGUUCCUCGGCAACGAUCGUCAGCCGAGGGUUAGCCGGUCCUAAGGUAAUCCCUAACUCGAGAUUACCGAAUGGGAAAACGGUUAAUAUUCCGUUGCCUCAACUGUUCUGUCUCAGCAAUGACAUUUAGGGAUAGGUCGAGUAAUCCCGUCAGAUUAUUUUUGUCCAUACAUCGAUGGAGUACCGUAAUGGUGAGAAGUCGAUAAAAGGACACAAGCUGCCCUAGUGGUGGUUCGGCCAAUUCCUUGAAUCCGUGAAAAUUUGCUGAGAGUCAAAGUUGAGUCCGUACCAAGAACCGACACUGGUGCCCCUGGGUGAGAAGCCCAAGGCGUAUUGGACAAAUCUUCGCGAGGGAACUCGGCAAACUAGCUUCGUAUCUUCGGUAGAAGGAGUGCCUAGUCCUUGAAAGACUAGGUCGCAGUGGCUAGGGGACUCCGACUGUUUAACAAAAACACAGAUCGCAGCGAGCCCGAAAGGGUGUGUAUUGCGGUUGAAGCCUGCCCAGUGGCGGUACCUGAAAACCCGGUUCAACGGGGAGAAGGGCCGCUAAACGGCGGGGGUAACUAUGACCCUCUUAAGGUAGCGUAAUACCUAGCCGCUUAAUUGGCGGCUUGCAUGAAGGUCCAACGAGGGUCCCACUGUCCCCGCGAUGAGUCCAGUGAAAUCGAUGUACUGGUGCACAAUCCAGUCUCUCCCACGUGAAAGCGAAGUCCCCGUGGAGCUUUACUGCAGCCUGUCGCUGUGAUAUGGUCCUAGGUGUGUAGAGUAGGCGGGAGCCGUCGAAGGAUGCUCGUCAGGGUAUCUGGAGGCAACGAUGAAACACCGCCCUUCUGGGGUUAUGUCACUAACCUGGUAAAGGGACACCGAUAGGUGGGCAGUUUGGGUGGGGCGCCACGCCCUCGAAAAGAUAACAAGGGCCCCCAAAGGUUGGCUCAGGAGGGUCAGCAAUCCUCCGUAGAGCGUAAGGGCAAAAGCCAGCUUGACUGGUUCACUCACAAUAAAGGAACCAGAUGCGAAAGCAAGGCCUAGCGAACCACCCAGUCCUCCUUAGUGGGGGCGGGUGAUAAGAGAGAAGUUACCCCAGGGAUAACUGAGUCGUCGCCGGCAAGAGUUCAUAUCGACCCGGCGGUUUGCUACUUCGAUGUCGUCUGUUCCUAUCCUGGCGGUGCAGCAGCUGCCAAGGGUGGGGCUGUUCGCCCAUUAAAAGGGAUCCUGAGAUGGGUUCACUACGUUGCGAGACAGUAGGGUUGCUUCUCCGUGGGAGUGCAAUGAUGCCUGAAGGGAAGGAGCCUUUAGUACGAGAGGAACGGGGCUUCGUGGCCUCUAGUUUACCGGUUGUCUGACAAGGCAUUCGCCGGGCAGCCACGUCAUAUGCGGAUAAGAGCUGAAAGCAUCUAAGUUCGAAACCGUCCCUGAAAAGAGGCAUCGUCAUCAGAUCUCUCCUAAAAGAGGAGUUUGAUAGGAUCGGGAUGUAAGCGUCAAGCCGCAAGGCGAGACGUUGAGUCCGCGAUUACUAACGAUCGAAAACCUGUAUAAU
rnacentral:rRNA from 16 species